AGGCAGCAGUGGGGAAUAUUGGACAAUGGGGGCAACCCUGAUCCAGCCAUGCCGCGUGUGUGAAGAAGGCCUUCGGGUUGUAAAGCACUUUAAGUUGGGAGGAAAGGGUUGUGGCUAAUAUCCAUAAUCUAUGACGUUACCAACAGAAUAAGCACCGGCUAACUCCCGUGCCAGCAGCCGCGGUAAUACGGAGGGUGCAAGCGUUAAUCGGAAUUACUGGGCGUAAAGCGCGCGUAGGCGGCUAAGUAAGCUAGAUGUGAAAUCCCCUGGGCUCAACCUGGGCACUGCAUUUAGAACUGCUUAGCUAGAGUGCAGAAGAGGAGUGUGGAAUUUCCGGUGUAGCGGUGAAAUGCGUAGAGAUCGGAAGGAACAUCAGUGGCGAAGGCGACACUCUGGUCUGACACUGACGCUGAGGUGCGAAAGCGUGGGUAGCAAACAGGAUUAGAUACCCUGGUAGUCCACGCUGUAAACGAUGUCUACUGGCCGUUGGCCUCCUUGAGGGGUUAGUGGCGUAGCUAACGCGAUAAGUAGACCGCCUGGGGAGUACGGCCGCAAGGUUAAAACUCAAAUGAAUUGACGGGGG
rnacentral:rRNA from 1 species